GAUCCACUAGUCAAGCGGUUAAGACAUGACAUUUUCACUGUCACAUGCCUGGGUUCGAACCCCAGGUGGAUUA